CCUACGGGAGGCAGCAGUAAGGAAUAUUGGUCAAUGGAGGCAACUCUGAACCAGCCAUGCCGCGUGCAGGAAGACGGCCCUCUGGGUUGUAAACUGCUUUUAUUCGGGAAUAAACCUACUUACGUGUAAGUAGCUGAAUGUACCGAAGGAAUAAGGAUCGGCUAACUCCGUGCCAGCAGCCGCGGUAAUACGGAGGAUCCAAGCGUUAUCCGGAUUUAUUGGGUUUAAAGGGUGCGUAGGCGGCCUGUUAAGUCAGGGGUGAAAGACGGUAGCUCAACUAUCGCAGUGCCCUUGAUACUGAUGGGCUUGAAUGAACUAGAGGUAGGCGGAAUGUGACAAGUAGCGGUGAAAUGCAUAGAUAUGUCACAGAACACCGAUUGCGAAGGCAGCUUACUAUGGUUUUAUUGACGCUGAGGCACGAAAGCGUGGGGAUCAAACAGGAUUAGAUACCCUGGUAGUCCACGCCCUAAACGAUGAAUACUUGCUGUUGGCAAUACACAGUCAGCGGCUAAGCGAAAGCGUUAAGUAUUCCACCUGGGGAGUACGGUCGCAAGAUUGAAACUCAAAGGAAUUGACGG
rnacentral:rRNA from 1 species